rnacentral:rRNA from 1 species
UGAACGCUGGCGGCAUGCUUUACACAUGCACAUCGAACGGUAACAGGCCUUCGGGUGCUGACGAGUGGCGAACGGGUGAGUAAUGCAUCGGAACGUACCCAGAGGUGGGGGAUAACGCAGCGAAAGCUGUGCUAAUACCGCAUGUGAUCUGAGGAUGAAAGCGGGGGACCGAGCAGCAAUGUUUGGCCUCGCGCCUUUGGAGCGGCCGAUGUCGGAUUAGCUAGUUGGUGGGGUAAAGGCCUACCAAGGCGACGAUCCGUAGCUGGUCUGAGAGGACGACCAGCCACACUGGGACUGAGACACGGCCCAGACUCCUACGGGAGGCAGCAGUGGGGAAUUUUGGACAAUGGGCGCAAGCCUGAUCCAGCAAUGCCGCGUGCGGGAAGAAGGCCUUCGGGUUGUAAACCGCUUUUGGCAGGAACGAAACGGUGUCCGCUAAUACCGGGCGCUAAUGACGGUACCUGCAGAAUAAGCACCGGCUAACUACGUG